CCUACGGGAGGCAGCAGUGAGGAAUAUUGCGCAAUGGGCGAAAGCCUGACGCAGCAACGCCGCGUGGGCGAAGAAGGCCUUCGGGUUGUAAAGCCCUUUUCUGGGAGACGAGGAAGGACGGUAUCCCAGGAAUAAGCCUCGGCUAACUACGUGCCAGCAGCCGCGGUAAAACGUAGGAGGCGAGCGUUAUUCGGAUUUACUGGGCGUAAAGCGCGUGCAGGCGGUUUCGUAAGUCGGACGUUAAAUCUCCUGGCUUAACUGGGAGGCGUCGUUCGAUACUGCGAAGCUGGAGGUCAGGAGAGGGAAGUGGAAUUCCCGGUGUAGUGGUGGAAUACGUAGAUAUCGGGAGGAACACCAGUGGCGAAGGCGGCUUCCUGGCCCGCACCUGACGCUAAGACGCGAAAGCGUGGGGAGCGAACGGGAUUAGAUACCCCUGUAGU
rnacentral:rRNA from 1 species